UGGGGAAUAUUGGACAAUGGGCGAAAGCCUGAUCCAGCAAUGCCGCGUGAGUGAUGAAGGCCUUAGGGUUGUAAAGCUCUUUUAGCAGGGAAGAUAAUGACGGUACCUGCAGAAUAAGCCCCGGCUAACUUCGUGCCAGCAGCCGCGGUAAUACGAAGGGGGCUAGCGUUGUUCGGAAUUACUGGGCGUAAAGGGCGCGUAGGCGGUUUGUCAAGUCAGUUGUGAAAUCUCCGAGCUUAACUCGGAACGGUCAACUGAUACUGUCAAACUAGAGUACAGAAGGGGCAAUCGGAAUUCUUGGUGUAGCGGUGAAAUGCGUAGAUAUCAAGAGGAACACCUGAGGCGAAGGCGGGUUGCUGGGCUGAUACUGACGCUGAAGCGCGAAAGCUAGGGUAGCAAACGGGAUUAG
rnacentral:rRNA from 1 species